rnacentral:rRNA from 1 species
UACGUAGGGGGCUAGCGUUGUCCGGAUUUAUUGGGCGUAAAGAGCGUGUAGGCGGCCAGGUAGGUCUGCUGUGAAAACUCGAGGCUCAACCUCGAGACGUCGGCGGAAACCAUCUGGCUAGAGUCCGGAAGAGGAGAGUGGAAUUCCUGGUGUAGCGGUGAAAUGCGCAGAUAUCAGGAAGAACACCGGUGGCGAAGGCGCCACUCUGGGCCGAAACUGACGCUGAGGAGCGAAAGCGUGGGUAGCAAACAGG